rnacentral:rRNA from 1 species
CCUACGGGAGGCAGCAGUGGGGAAUAUUGCACAAUGGGGGAAACCCUGAUGCAGCGACGCCGCGUGAGUGAAGAAGUAAUUCGUUAUGUAAAGCUCUAUCAGCAGGGAAGAAAAUGACGGUACCUGAGUAAGAAGCCCCGGCUAACUACGUGCCAGCAGCCGCGGUAAUACGUAGGGGGCAAGCGUUAUCCGGAUUUACUGGGUGGAAAGGGAGCGUAGACGGCAGUGCAAGUCUGGAGUGAAAGGCGGGGGCUCAACCCCCGGACUGCUCUUGAAACUGUACGGCUGGAGUGCAGGAGAGGUAAGUGGAAUUCCUAGUGUAGCGGUGAAAUGCGUAGAUAUUAGGAGGAACACCAGUGGCGAAGGCGGCUUACUGGACUGUAACUGACGUUGAGGCUCGAAAGCGUGGGGAGCAAACAGGAUUAGAUACCCUUGUAGUC